rnacentral:tRNA from 1 species
GCCCGGUUAGCCCAGAGGUAGAGGCACCGACCUAACCGGUCGGGUAAGGGCAGGUUCGAUUCCUGCGCCGGGCU